GGGGAAUAUUGCGCAAUGGGGGGGACCCUGACGCAGCAACGCCGCGUGGAGGAAGAAGGCCUUCGGGUUGUAAACUCCUGUCUUUAGGGACGAUAAUGACGGUACCUAAGGAGGAAGCCACGGCUAACUACGUGCCAGCAGCCGCGGUAAUACGUAGGUGGCGAGCGUUGUCCGGAAUUACUGGGCGUAAAGGGUGCGUAGGCGGAUACUUAAGUCAGAUGUGAAACUCCGGGGCUUAACUUCGGGACUGCAUUUGAAACUGGGUAUCUAGAGUGCAGGAGAGGGAAGCGGAAUUCCUAGUGUAGCGGUGAAAUGCGUAGAUAUUAGGAAGAACACCAGUGGCGAAGGCGGCUUUCUGGACUGUAACUGACGCUGAGGCACGAAAGCGUGGGGAGCGAAC
rnacentral:rRNA from 1 species